GAUGAACGCUGGCGGCGUGCCUAAUACAUGCAAGUCGAGCGAACAGACGAGGAUCUUGCUCCUCUUACGUUAUCGGCGGACGGGUGAGUAACACGUGGAUAACCUACCUAUAAGACUGGGAUAACUUCGGGAAACCGGUGCUAAUACCGGAUAAUAUAUUGAACCGCAUGGUUCUAUAGUGAAUGUCGGUUUUGCUGUCUCUUAUAGAUGGUUCCGCGCCGCAUUAGCUAGUUGGUAAGGUAACGGCUUACCAAGGCAACGAUGCGUAGCCGACCUGAGAGGGUGAUCGGCAACACUGGAAGUGAGACACGGACCAGAGUCCUACGGGAGGCAGCAGAAGGGAAUGUGCGGCAAUGGGAGAAAGCAUGACGGAGCAACGGCGCGUGAGUGAUGAAGGUAUUCGGAUCGUAAAACUCUGUUAUUAGGGAAGAAAAAAUGUGUAAGUAAAUAUGCACGUAUUGACGGUACCUAAACAGAAAGCAACGGCUAACUACGUG
rnacentral:rRNA from 1 species